GAUGAACGCUAGCGGCAGGCCUAACACAUGCAAGUCGAGGGGUAGAGUUAGCUUGCUAACUUGAGACCGGCGCACGGGUGCGUAACGCGUAUGCAAUCUGCCUUGUACUGAGGGAUAGCCCAGAGAAAUUUGGAUUAAUACCUCAUAGCAUUAUGAAAUCGCAUGGUUUUAUAAUUAAAGUUCCAACGGUACAAGAUGAGCAUGCGUCCCAUUAGUUAGUUGGUAAGGUAACGGCUUACCAAGACAAUGAUGGGUAGGGGUCCUGAGAGGGGGAUCCCCCACACGGGUACUGAGACACGGACCAGACUCCUGCGGGAGGCAGCAGUGAGGAAUAUUGGUCAAUGGGCGCAAGCCUGAACCAGCCAUGCCGCGUGCAGGAUGACGGUCCUAUGGAUUGUAAACUGCUUUUGUACGGGAAGAAACACUCCUACGUGUAGGAACUUGACGGUACCGUAAGAAUAAGGAUCGGCUAACUCCGUGCCAGCCGCCGCCGUAACAC
rnacentral:rRNA from 1 species